rnacentral:lncRNA from 1 species
GCGAGCAUGGCAGACGAAGGGCUGCUGAUUGGCUUGUCUCGAUUGGCGACCCACACGACGGUGAGUGGUCCGGGGAUGCUGUGGUACCAUAUGCCAAGGUAGAAACUCUUGUUGGAGCUGGUUGGGGAGAAGAAGCCAAGAGCAAAGUCCCCGCCCUUGGAGAUGAGUAUAUCAUCGUGAGUGAGUGGCUUUGCAUAUGUGAGCUGGUCAUCGGAUUUGCAGGAUGAACUCAAGAAUAGGAGGAAGAAGAAGGAAAUACAGUGCGUAGCCAUCAGGCCGUUCCUCCCUCUGCUUGUGUCUGUUAAGGGAAGAAAGUAGCACACAGAUACAGAUAUGCAUGGUCCUUUCCUGUAUGGUUCUUCAGACCGUGGUUGUGUGGUGCAGAAUUUUCUGUCCAUGUAAUCAAAGUUAGGCACUCAUCACCCUUAAGGAGUUAAUGUGGCAGGUAAAGUCUAGACUGACAAUAAUACAGACAUAGACAGCAAAGUGGACCUUGACGGCUUGGCCACAGCACAGAAUUGCAGACGAACGGCGCGGGAGCAGACUCCAAGUCUCCCCACGGCAGAGGAAAUCGUUGCUAUGAAUUUCAGGUCAGAUCUUGGAGUGAAACUCACACCUCAGACUCUGUUCGGUUGUCCCCAGCCCGGCCCGAUUUGGGGCCCGAUCCACGUGGGUCACCUAGGCCGGGAAACAAUCCCGGCCCAACCAAAAUGUUGCUCUUUUUUUUUUUGGAGAGGACCAUAAUGUUGCUCAGGGGGCCAUGGCAUGUGCAUGUGGUCGGCUGGGCUAGCGAGGAUGUCACCAUGGUCUAGCGAACAUAUAUUUGUCUAGUACGGAGUAUUAAAUAUGUCGGUGUCUUUAUCUACAAACUCAGUAAAAUUUGGCAAAUUUAACUUCGGACAAUCCCAUAUGUACAAAUAUUUAGAAAUGAAGGGAUUACAUUUCCACAAAAUGCAGUUGCAUGGGUAAGGAUAGUUAAAUAGUGCUAGAAGACGAUAGCGUACCAGGAGAGUCAGCAAGGCGAAAGGUAAAGGUUAUCGCCGUAGUUGACGAGUUUCCCCGUAUCGACGAGCUCCCCAGUCCAAACCAAGCAUCUCGACGGGUCGGCCGUAGCGCCGGAGUUGCUCAAGCUGGCAUAAGCAUAUGCCAUACACGAGCAGUUGCUGCUGCACUCGAUCGGUCGCACACUCAUGGAAACUUCUGUUCCAUAAGUGCAAGAACUUGUCAGGGACCUUCAUCCCAGGUAAAGUCACAAAACGACUUUGCUUGUCGCAUUUCAAUUCUUCUCUGGCAUCCUCUCGAAAAGUUAAAAUCAUUGGGCUGGAACCCAUCGAGGCACUGGCACGUCGGGGCAGUUCCAGUGAGGUCGCAGUAGCUGAACAGGCUACAUGAGUCGUACAGGACCGUUGGUGAUGGAGAGCAUGGCAGACGAAGCGGUGAUUGUUGGGUUGUCUCGGUUGGCGACCCACACGACGGUGCGUGGUCCGGGGAUGCUGUUGUACCAUAUGCCGAGGUAGAAGCUCUUGUUGGAGCUGGUUGGGGAGAAGAAGCCGAGAGCAAAAUCCCCGCCUUUGGAGAUGAGUAUGUCACCGUGUGUGAGUGGCUUUGCAUGUGUGAGCUCAUCAUCGGAUUUGCAAAAUGAACUCAGCAAUAGGAGGAAGAAGAUGGGAGUAUAGUGCAUAGCCAUUAGGCCUUCUCCCUCUGCUCGUCUCAAGGGAAAGUAAGUAGCACACAUAUACAGAUAGCCGUGGUGUGUGCGCUGUAUGGUUCUUCAGACUCUGGUUGUGUGUUGGAGAAUUUUC